UGCAGUCGAACGGUAACAGGAAAUAGCUUGCUAUUUUGCUGACGAGUGGCGCACGGGUGCGUAACGCGUAUACAAUCUAUCUUUUGCUGAGGGAUAGCCCAGAGAAAUUUGGAUUAAUACCUCAUGGUAUUAUUGAUAGGCAUCUAUUAAUAAUUAAAGGUUACGGCAAAAGAUGAGUAUGCGUCCCAUUAGCUAGUUGGUGAAGUAACGGUUCACCAAGGCAACGAUGGGUAGGGGUCCUGAGAGGGAGAUCCCCCACACUGGUACUGAGACACGGACCAGACUCCUACGGGAGGCAGCAGUGAGGAAUAUUGGACAAUGGGCGAGAGCCUGAUCCAGCCAUGCCGCGUGCAGGAAGACUGCCCUAUGGGUUGUAAACUGCUUUUAUACAGGAAGAAUAAGCCUUACGUGUAAGGUGAUGACGGUACUGUAAGAAUAAGGACCGGCUAACUCCGUGCCAGCAGCCGCGGUAAUACGGAGGGUCCGAGCGUUAUCCGGAAUUAUUGGGUUUAAAGGGUCCGUAGGCGGAUGAUUAAGUCAGGGGUGAAAGUUUGCAGCUCAACUGUAAAAUUGCCUUUGAUACUGGUCAUCUUGAGUUGUAUUGAAGUAGGCGGAAUACGUAGUGUAGCGGUGAAAUGCAUAGAUAUUACAUAGAACACCAAUUGCGAAGGCAGCUUACUAAGUACUAACUGACGCUGAUG
rnacentral:rRNA from 1 species